rnacentral:misc_RNA from 1 species
UUUCCGUAGGUGAACCUGCGGAAGGAUCAUUAACAAUUCAACAAUACUCGUGUUUGGUAUGUGUAGCAUCCUUGUCGUCCGUCCGCUCCUUCCUUCUAUGUAUGCAUAAUAUAUAGUAGAGGGGCUGGGGGGAGGCAAGGGUGGUGCCGUGCCAGUUAACAACACACAACACUUACAUUAAACUACAUGAGACAACAAAUACACAUUUUGGGUGUAAAAACCUGAGAGAACACAUAAUUAAAAACAACUUUUAACAAUGGAUCUCUCGGCUCUU